rnacentral:rRNA from 1 species
UACGUAGGGACCAAGCGUUGUUCGGAUUUACUGGGCGUAAAGGGCGCGUAGGCGGUUUGUCAAGUCAGUUGUGAAAUCUCCGAGCUUAACUCGGAACGGUCAACUGAUACUGUCAAACUAGAGUACAGAAGGGGCAAUCGGAAUUCUUGGUGUAGCGGUGAAAUGCGUAGAUAUCAGGAGGAACACCUGUGGUGUAGACAGCUUACUGGACCACUUCUGACGCUGAGACACGAAAGCGUGGGUAGCAAACAGG